rnacentral:rRNA from 1 species
CAGUCGAACGAAACUUCUUUAUCACCGAGUGCUUGCACUCACCGAUAAAGAGUCUAUGUGGCGAACGGGUGAGUAACACGUGGGCAACCUGCCCAAAAGAGGGGGAUAACACUUGGAAACAGGUGCUAAUACCGCAUAACCAUAGUUACCGCAUGGUAACUAUGUAAAAGGUGGCUAUGCUACCGCUUUUGGAUGGGCCCGCGGCGCAUUAGCUAGUUGGUGGGGUAAAGGCUUACCAAGGCAAUGAUGCGUAGCCGAACUGAGAGGUUGAUCGGCCACAUUGGGACUGAGACACGGCCCAAACUCCUACGGGAGGCAGCAGUAGGGAAUCUUCCACAAUGGGCGAAAGCCUGAUGGAGCAACGCCGCGUGGGUGAAGAAGGUCUUCGGAUCGUAAAACCCUGUUGUUAGAGAAGAAAGUGCGUGAGAGUAACUGUUCACGUUUCGACGGUAUCUAACCAGAAAGCCACGGCUAACUACGUGCCAGCAGCCGCGGUAAUACGUAGGUGGCAAGCGUUAUCCGGAUUUAUUGGGCGUAAAGGGAACGCGGGCGGUCUUUUAAGUCUGAUGUGAAAGCCUUCGGCUUAACCGGAGUAGUGCAUUGGAAACUGGGAGACUUGAGUGCAGAAGAGGAGAGUGGAACUCCAUGUGUAGCGGUGAAAUGCGUAGAUAUAUGGAAGAACAC